GUGGUUUGGUCCUUAGUACAAGCUAAAUGUAUGUCAUCUCAUCUAGUGAGGUUGUCACAUUUCAGGCACUUGUGGUGAAGCUAAGGGAAGGCACCGGGCCAAAUGCUAAUACUGGUGUUGUCACUGGAGUUCUUGCAACUGUUGGGGAGCUUGCUAGGGUGGUGGUAUGAAAAGGAAUGAUGAAAAGGUUCUAUUUUGAUGCUAAAAUGUCGAAGCAUUGCUCUAGGAGGUUUUGCUUGUUUACUUUAAUUUGUAACAAGUAGUAAUCAUGUUGUCAUUUUGGUAUCUACCUCCUUUCAUAGAGGCUAGCAUACUUGCUUGCUGCAUUACACUUAGGGGACCACAUGAUGUGAAUUAUUGUUCCUGAAGUUUUUCAGCUUAGUUUGGAAGAAAACCUUCAAGGGAAAAAAGAUCAUGUUGUCCUCAGUUGGAAUCAGAGAUAUAAGAUUGCUAUCAAUGUAGCUGAGGCACUUGAUUAUCUACAUAGCCGCAGUGCUUAGUUCAUUAUCCAUAGGGAUGUGAAAUCAUUGAACAUCCUUCUAGCAGAUGAUUUUGAGCCACAGAAUACAAAUGACCAUAUCGCUUGGGACUGGGAGUGAUGAAGUGCAACUGCAAAAUGCAUUACCCCUGUAUGUUCUGUUGGCAAAACCUGUUUCUAAUAUUACAGUUUCAGAGUUUAUCAGCUCAGGAGGACAUGCAUUCUAAAAGCUUUCUCUGAGUUUGGGAGUGGAGAUAAAAAAGAAGCCACCUUUGUUAUUCCUGAGCUUAGGAAGUUGUCAGCUAAUGGCAAAGCUGGCAAUCUCACCGUCUUACUUUUUCUUCAGGGGAAGCUGCAAUUACUUCCAGUGAAAGUGAUCUACUUAAAGACCAAUUCGAUCUGGCAUCUUUUCCAUGUGGUGUAACAUUGAUGGACGCCUUCUUGAUAAAGUUCUUCCCAGUCGUCUAUCGAAAGACCAAAGAUCCUGGUUUGGACAGCCAUUACUGCAAAUACGACAACCACGGCCUUCAGCUAUUCACAUCAUCGUUGUAUCUAGCUGGCUUGACUUCGUCCUUCUUUGCAUCCUACACCACAAGAAACCUCGGUUGGAGGCUGACCAUGCUCAUUGCAGGGAUUUUCUUCAUCAUUGGCGUGGUGCUAAAUGCAGCUGCCCAGAACCUUGCCAUGCUCAUUAUAGGAAGGAUCUUCCUGGGGUGUGGAGUCGGCUUCGCUAAUCAGGUCUUUUUCUAGUUUCACUUCUGAUUCCUCAGGCAUGACCAUUUUUAUCCCCUUUUGUAACCAUGACAUAUGUAGAUUCCCAUUAAAAUGGCAUUCACCUUAUUUUGCUAGCAGUGUCAUUACUAAGAUCAAGAUUCACGGAUUUUUGGUGCAACAUAAUAUCUAUAAGUCUGAUAAUUCAUUGUUGAAUACAUGCCGAUAUUUCAUUGGCAGUUUCAAGUUA